CUUAGAAGGUCUUAUUUUUGGCCAAUGAGUGCAAAUGUAGGAGAUCAUGCUUUUAGGAGUUUUAGGAGACACCUUUGCCUAUAUAUAGAGGUGUUUCCUCUCUUGUAAUCAUCUUUGAGGUUGAGUAAUGUUAUGUUGUCCAUUUUUUGCCAUACUUCUCAUCUUAUAUCAAGACUAGAGCAACCUAUGAGGCCCAUCUAGUCACCUUCCUCUUAGAGUUGGCCUAACCUCUCUUAGAGUCACCAAACACCACACCACCACCAUAAAUCAUCACAAAACCAUGAGCUUAGCUCCCUUGUCCAUCAAAGCUUCUGCACCCACC
rnacentral:lncRNA from 1 species